rnacentral:rRNA from 1 species
UACGUAGGGGGCAAGCGUUAUCCGGAUUUACUGGGUGUAAAGGGAGCGUAGACGGCACUGCAAGUCUGGAGUGAAAGCCCGAGGCCCAACCACGGGACUGCUCUGGAAACUGCGGGGCUGGAGUGCAGGAGGGGUAAGCGGAAUUCCUAGUGUAGCGGUGAAAUGCGUAGAUAUUAGGAGGAACACCGGUGGCGAAAGCGGCUCUCUGGUCUGUAACUGACGCUGAGGUUCGAAAGCGUGGGUAGCAAACAGG